ensembl:lncRNA
AUUGUUCUCAGUUGCAUUUUCCCAAGUUCAAGACAUUUGGAGAAGUAAAGUACAGAUGCCAAAGUGAACUCCUGGACCUCUGGGAUAGCCCUUCACUCACACUCAGCAAGCAGGCUCCAAGAGAAGAAGGGGACAGGCCAUCACCAUGAAGAAGCCAGAGGAAGGGAAUGGGGGGUACUGAUGAAACACUGGACUUGAUAAUUAAGACCCCCUUCUAUCUAUUCUCUCUCUCUAUGAAAAAGCGCUUUUAAGCAUCACACCAAUUUGGUCCUGGAAUUUGGUCAAUCUGGCCUUUUCCAUCAGAAUAUGCUCUACAGAAGGAAAAAGCCUCAAAGGACCCUCCUGGCAUGAAUGCCCUGCUGCUCCCCUUCACUAGACCAGGGCCAAGAUUCCUAUCGAGGUAACUAGAGAUGAAGAAGGGAACACACCAGGCCCUUGAUAUUUCUGAGCCUCCGGAAAAGCCAAUCCCCCAGGACUCCCUGCAGGCCAGGGGAAAGAGAAACCCUUUGAGGCUCAGCUUGAAUCCGCGAGCCUUUCAGAACACUGAGAAAGCUAAACACAGCAGUUCCAUGACUACUCAUUUGGAAAGAGCCCAUCUUUUUCAAAACGUGGGUCUUAAAAGUGGAUCAUCUAUUUUUGCUUUUGUCGCUUUGGCUUUUGGUGUCAAAUCCAAAAAUUCGUUGCCAAGUCUGAUGUCAAGGAGCUUAACCCUUAUGUUUUCUCCCAGGAGUUUUCUGAUUUCAGGUUUUACAUUCAAGUCUAUCCAUUUUGAGUCCAUUUUUUGUAUGGUGUAAGAUAGGGAUCUGAUUUCAUUCUUUUGUGUGCGGCUGUCUGCAAACAGGAUGGGGAAGAGAUAUCUGUACUCCAAUGUUCACUCAGUAUUAUUCACCAUAGCUAAGAUGUGGAAAAGACUUACAUGUCCGUGAACAGAUGAACAAAUAAAGA